AGAAGAGACAACAGUAACCAAUGUUAGAACAUGCUGUUCCAAGGGAGCUCUAUAACUAGCAAUCAAUCUGUGAUCCUCACAUAUUGACACAUAAAUAAUAGGCAACAGACAACAAUUAGGGAGCCAGUUAAGCUUGGUGUUCAGGAAUCAGUGUCACGGCCUCUGAUCUCACAACUGUGCGCUUAGUCGGAUUAAAACCGAAGGUUUGUGGGUCAACAAAGGGCUACAGUCUGGCAUAAUGACAAGAGGAAACAGGCAAAAAAAAAAACUGAAGCAACACUGGACAAAAUUCUCUCUGGUAGAUUACAGUGCAUUCAUGUGAAUUUAUGUGUGUGCGCUGAAUAUUACAGGGCAAAAAGGUCAGUGUGGCUGCGCUGCUAGACACAACACGAGAUGUGGAAUGAGAGGAUUGAAGUUGUAUGUUAAUCUGUUUGAUGGGCCUGUCUGACCCAGUCAUCCUAUUUGCAUGAGCUUAUCUGCCAAUGAGAGUGCACACAGACUGCAUCAGAAAGACUGCUGGUGUAAUUAUACGGUGGCAGCAUAAACAAAUCAAGAGGUUGUUUUGUAAAAGCACUAAUAGUUGAUGCAUAUACCUGACACAAGCUGUAACAUGUUAACAUCUACAUUUAAUGAGAUUAGCUGUGACCAGAUACAGUUGUAUGAAGGUGAAAACAUAAUGGGAACGUUACUUUUUCUGAAGAUAAUUUCAAAUCUUUUUUGUUUAAAUCACACUACAAAUCAUAUUUAAUGAUCUUUGGCCACCCCAUCAAGCUAAUGACCGCUGCCAAAUGCCUUCAGCUUUGAUGGUGCGUUAGCAGCAAUAACGUCCUCAGCUAACACGAAGCCAACUUUUUUUAAAAAAGAAAGAAACACGACUUCAACCUCUUCCACUAAGUUCACCUCUCUCUAUCGUGUUUGAGCAGACGAACACUGUGUUAAAUUGACCUCGUAGUCUUCACACGUUUAAUAAAACUACCUAGCUUGUUCGCUAUUGCAAUUAGCUACCAAGCUAACCAUUUGGCUAACCACUCUUGCGGGGCCCUUCUUCUUUGUGAUGCAGGAUCAGGCAAUAAUUAAUAUGGCCAUGCAAUAACAGCAGCGUAUCUGCGUUCGUGAUCAACAAAACCGCGACAAACGAGCUUAGAAACUAGCUAAAAGCGAGAUGAAGUGACGGAGGCUUCUCGACACGUAAAUAAAUUGUGGGAUUCGGUUCCUGGGCAGUGAACCGACUGUAAGUGAUGGAGCGACAGCACAAGCAUGACCCAUAACAACCGGCCCAUACAACUCCAGCGAACAAUGAUGCUCGUCCGGCUAGCCGAGACAGCUAACUUAGCAGCUAACUAGCGGCUUUGGGCUUAGCAAUUUGGCAGAGGUGAACAGAGGCACAAGGAACCACUGGAGCCCAGCUGCAAUUCAAUCAGUCAGCGAUGCUCCAGUCUGACCCAGAACCAGAUCAGGAACAUGCAGGUGGGUCGUCUUUCCAGUAGAUGGCACAGUUUAACUGGAGGCACAGAGAUCCUCCAGCCUCACCGCCUCUCCCUGUGACUCUUCAUGCUGUCAGUCACACAGAGGA